GAGAGGAAAUGCAGGGCGAGCGGACCAGAAACCUUCCCGAGUCUGAGAGUCCUGGGCAGGAAGAGAAGGGAGCUCAGAUAAUCAAACAACAGGCUGGAUCCUCAAAGGGGCCCGGAGAAAGGACGCAUGGAACUCCAGUGAGCAAUAAGCUCCCAACUCCCUUAGGCUCCUUUGAAAAUCUCUGUAUCCAAAGCGACUCAGUGGUCCUGGGCAGAGCCAAGAUCCAACAGCCGUGGUCCUCAGAAGUUUUGGAUGGAGACGAAUUGAACCUGACCUGCUCCCACCAUGCCGCCAAGGCGAGUGACAGCACAAUCUGGUACCAGCAGCUCCCAAACCCAAUACCCCAGUUUGCACUUACCGGAUACAAGGAAACCAUUAAUAGCCCCGAACCGAAGGGAGCUCUGUACAUCUCCGCUGACAAAGUGUCCGGCACCCUGGCCCUGCACCGUGUGAGGCUGGUGUAUUUCUGUGGUGUGCUGUGGUGUAUUUCUGUGAUCGGAGCAACAUGAUGUGAUAACCAGUGGGCAGCCCCCGGGCAAUAAAUAUCCCACCCCUACUCCAGGGCUGAGUGUGUGUGGGGGGGUGGUGUGAGCAGAUGGUGAGGAACUCUUCUGUGGAUGUGGGGGAGAGGGAGGACCAGGGAGAACAAAAAGGGAGGAAUAAAACAAUUAGGACCAAAUUUACAAAAAUGUCUCUAUGCGCCUAACUAUUUAUGCAUGUGACUACUGAGAUGUGGUACUUUGGAAAAUUUCUAAGAAGUCCGCCUUAAGAGGGAAUGAAGAACAAUAAAGGGAAGAGUAAACCAUGGAAGUAAAUAAACUUUUCCAAGA